rnacentral:rRNA from 1 species
AUACGGAGGAUGCGAGCGUUAUCCGGAAUUAUUGGGUUUAAAGGGUCCGCAGGCGGCCCGUUAAGUCAGUAGUGAAACCCCGGGGCUCAACCCCGGACGUGCUACAGAUACUGGCGGGCUAGAGAAAGUCUGGAGGCGGCGGAAUGUGACAAGUAGCGGUGAAAUGCAUAGAUAUGUCUCAGAACACCGAUAGCGAAAGCAGCUGCCUAAGACUUAUCUGACGCUCAGGGACGAAAGCGUGGGGAGCAAACAGGAUUAGAUACCCUGGUAGUCCACGCAGUAAACGAUGGAUACCAUCUUUUUGGUCGCAAGACUGAGAGGACAAUCGAAAGAGAUAAGUAUCCCACCUGGGGAGUACGUGCGCAAGCAUGAA